GCGUAUAUUAAAGUUGUUGCAGUUAAAAAGCUCGUAGUUGAAUUUCGGGUUUCCGGCGCUCCCGCUUCAUUGCGGGGACACGGGGACCCUCCUCGCCUUAGGGCGUCAUUUACUGUGAAAAAAUUAGAGUGUUCAAAGCAGGCAAUCGCUUGAAUACAUUAGCAUGGAAUAAUAAGAUAGGAUUACGUCUAUUUUGUUGGUUGCGGACGAUAAUAAUGAUUAAUAGGGAUAGUUGGGGGUGUCCGUAUUGAGCUGUCAGAGGUGAAAUUCUUGGAUUUGCUCAAGACGAACUACUGCGAAAGCAUUCACCAAGGAUGUUUUCAUUAAUCAAGAACGAAAGUCAGGGGAUCGAAGAGGAUUAGAUACCCUCGUAGUCUUGACCAUAAACUAUGCCGACUCGGGAUUGGCAGACGUUGUAUCGACUCUGUCAGCACCGUAUGGUAAACCAAAGUCUUUGGGUUCCGGGGGGAGUAUGGUCGCAAGGCUGAAACUUAAAGGAAUUGACGGAAGGGCACCACCAGGAGUGGAGCCUGCGGCUUAAUUUGAC
rnacentral:rRNA from 1 species